ensembl:lncRNA
CUCGGCUGGAAGUAAAGCAGGGUGGGGGUGAGGGGGCUUUGACAGAUAGAGAAAAGAAAUUUAGCUGUGGCAGAUUCACAUCCCAGGCAGACAGCGGGCAGUUGUAGAUGGUCCCCCAUACACGAGGGAGCAUCCAGAUGCCAGGUCCUGCCACAGGGGCCACAAGGAAGUGGAGUGUGUCCACACAUUCACGUCACCGCUCACCUCAGUCAUCUGGGUGCUAAUGGAUACCGACUCAACAGACUUCCUCGAGGGGUUUCAAAAAAAGGAGAAACAGAACACACAGUGAACACCGAACUCCAUUUCCCACAAGGUCUGGCGGUUCAACUGGAAAACAACAACGAGCUUGACAACACCACAAAUCAUGGCUGACAGCGAGUUACCCAGGUCAAGCUGUGCAGCUCAGUGUCGCAAAUCAUGUCUCCAAACCCCUGCUGUGUUAACCACCACUACGUACAUCAAAUAUCCAGAGUCAACCCAU